CCUACGGGCGGCAGCAGUCGGGAAUUUUGGGCAAUGGGCGAAAGCCUGACCCAGCAACGCCGCGUGAGGGAUGAAGUAUUUCGGUAUGUAAACCUCGAAAGAAUAGGAAGAAUAAAUGACGGUACUAUUUAUAAGCUCCGGCUAACUACGUGCCAGCAGCCGCGGUAAUACGUAGGGAGCAAGCGUUGUUCGGAUUUACUGGGCGUAAAGGGCGCGUAGGCGGCCUGACAGGUCACUUGUGAAAUCUCCGAGCUUAACUCGGAACGGUCAAGUGAAACCAAUAGGCUAGAGUGCAGAAGGGGCAAUCGGAAUUCUUGGUGUAGCGGUGAAAUGCGUAGAUAUCAAGAGGAACACCUGAGGUGAAGACGGGUUGCUGGGCUGACACUGACGCUGAGGCGCGAAAGCCAGGGGAGCAAACGGGAUUAGAUACCCCGGUAGUC
rnacentral:rRNA from 1 species